rnacentral:rRNA from 1 species
GACGAACGCUGGCGGCGUGCCUAAUACAUGCAAGUAGAACGCUGCAGAGAGGAGCUUGCUCUUCUUGGAUGAGUUGCGAACGGGUGAGUAACGCGUAGGUAACCUGCCUGGUAGCGGGGGAUAACUAUUGGAAACGAUAGCUAAUACCGCAUAAAAUGGAUUAUCGCAUGAUAAUCCAUUGAAAGGUGCAAAUGCAUCACUACCAGAUGGACCUGCGUUGUAUUAGCUAGUUGGUGGGGUAACGGCUCACCAAGGCGACGAUACAUAGCCGACCUGAGAGGGUGAUCGGCCAAGCUGGGACUGAGGCACGGCCCAGACUCCUGCGGGAGGCAGCAGUAGGGAAUCUUCGGCAAUGGACGGAAGUCUGACCGAGCAACGCCGCGUGAGUGAAGAAGGUUUUCGGAUCGUGAAGCUCUGUUGUAAGAGAGGAACGGGUGUGAGAGUGGAAAGUUCACACUGUGACGGUAUCUUACCAAAAAGAGACGGCUAACUACGUG